CGGGGGAGCAAGCGUUGUUCGGAUUUACUGGGCGUAAAGGGCGCGUAGGCGGCCUCUGCAAGUCGACUGUGAAAUCUCCGGGCUUAACCCGGAACGGUCAGCCGAUACUGCAGGGCUAGAGUGCAGAAGGGGCAACUGGAAUUCUCGGUGUAGCGGCGAAAUGCGUAGAUAUCGAGAGGAACACCUGCGGCGAAGGCGGGUUGCUGGGCUGACACUGACGCUGAGGCGCGAAAGCUAGGGGAGCGAACGGGAUUAGAUACCCCGGUAGUCCUAGCCUUAAACGAUGAAUGCUUGGUGUCUGGGGUUUUAUAGUCCCCGGGUGCCGUCGCUAACGCUUUAAGCAUUCCGCCUGGGGAGUACGGUCGCAAGACUG
rnacentral:rRNA from 1 species